AGUAGGUACAACUGCAGUGACCCGGCCAGCUCUGGAGCCCUGGAUUCAGCCCCCGCAGGAAUUCCGGAGCUCUCCGUCUGCAGGGCCUGGAGGCUCCGGGGCGGG
rnacentral:pre_miRNA from 1 species